AUUGAACGCUGGCGGCAGGCCUAAAACAUGCAAGUCGAGCGGUAGCACAGGGAGCUUGCUCCUGGGUGACGAGCGGCGGACGGGUGAGUAAUGUCUGGGAAACUGCCUGAUGGAGGGGGAUAACUACUGGAAACGGUAGCUAAUACCGCAUAACGUCGCAAGACCAAAGAGGGGGACCUUCGGGCCUCUUGCCAUCAGAUGUGCCCAGAUGGGAUUAGCUAGUAGGUGGGGUAACGGCUCACCUAGGCGACGAUCCCUAGCUGGUGUGAGAAGAUGACCAGGCACACUGGGACUGAUACACGGUCCAGACUCCUACGGGAGGGAGCAGUGGGGAAUAUUGCACAAUGGGCGCAAGCCUGAUGCAGCCAUGCCGCGUGUAUGAUAAAGGCCUUCGGGAUGUAAAGUACUUUCAGCGGGGAGGAAAGUGUUGAGGUUAAUAACCUCAGCAAUUGACGUUACCCGCAGAAGAAGCACCGGCUAACUCCGUGCCAGCCGCCGCAGUAAUAC
rnacentral:rRNA from 1 species